rnacentral:misc_RNA from 1 species
CCAGCAAAUGAGUGUGCACCACUCUCUGCUGACGGAUUUCGACACCGACAUGAGUUCAUCAUUAUCACAUUCUAUUGAUCCCCACUCCAUGCCAUCCCUCUCUAACGCUAGAGGAACUGUGCCAAACAGGAAUAUUCUGUAUGGUGUCGUGGCCUCCAUGGUUCGGAGAAGUCCCCGCUUCCGUUGAGUCGCGAGGGGCUGAUCCCCGAAAAUCAGCUGUGCGUGGGCAUUCUCAUGCAUGACCAAGCCUCGCGUGGCCAAGGGUUUGCGGGGCUCUGGACGGAUUACGCCGGCCACCCGUGGGCAUCCUAUGGGCACCGAAGACCGUGGAAAGGCGGGCGUCCUGCGCACGUGGGGAUUCUGGCUGCGGAUGGCUCGAUCACUCAUGCUGCUGAGGGAGGGGGUGCAGGUGUCGGGGGAGUGCAUCCAUCGCCUCGAGGCGGCUGUCAGCCGAUUCACGGACAGCCGCCCGCGCCCACUGCCGGGAGACGAAGCGGGUGGGGCAGUGGGACGAGUGGCGGCGGGUCUGGGAGGAUAUGGAUGACGCUGUCUCUGAGGAGCCCCAUCGCGGACCGACACACCCACGGAGGAGGAUCCGCGGCCGCUCGUCCGUCUCCCCUCCUCCGUGCUCGACCUGUGGAAUGCACGCAAGGCGUCGCUGCAGGGCAGACAUAGCGUGUGCCGGCUCAUUCUGCUAGUGGCAUCGACGGCCGAGCGGAUGAAUGCACCGGAGGCAGCGGCGCAAGCAGCCACGGCGCCUUCGGCUGCGAACGGCCCUCAGCUCCAAUCUGUCAACACCGUGCGCCCUGGUGCCACGGGGAUGCCAGCGCCGCCCAGCGAUCUCUGGCCCGGAGAGCCCGCUUUUGACCUCGCAGGGAGGGGCUGCCGCCCCCAGGCGCCAUUUGCUGCAGGCCGAGGUGGCGUGGGGCACUGCUAAAGGCCCACCUUAUCCAAAUCGUCAGAACCAGCGCGUACACCUCAAGCACAUACACGAUGCAGGCCGUCGUUGUCGUCUUCUCGACGAUCUACGGUGUCGCAUUCAACGGGUGUGUCAUGACGCCACGAGAGACCCGCGACAUUGCGCUGGCCUUGAAGAGGGCCUUCGACUGCCUCCUCACUCCGGCGUGGCUCUCGCGCGGGCUCACCCUCUGCAGCGCGAUCUCCCGGUACGAGCGGACGAUGGACCCCAUGGCCCUGAUGUGUUCAACCGCGAGCAGGCGCACGAGACGAGGGCACGGUACAAUGAGAGCCAGCACUCGCAGAACAGCACGGUACCGGGGUGCCCCUAUCACGGGGACACUCCCAGCGAGGUUUGUGGGGAUCCGCGCACGUGAAGCGGGCGACAAAGCAGGUCGCCAUGACGGGCACACGAUAGAGGUACGGCCCCGCCUACAGUGCAAGUACAGCAGAGCGCCGAGCAGUGCGCUGCGCGUUUGAGGGGCCGUUCUUUCUUGUCUGCUGGAGCCGUGGCCCGCCUUCGUGUGGAUGACACUUUGGCCGUCGCUGCGGUCUGCAUGGGCUUUCUCCACACCUUCACGCCGUCAACGCGGUACUCCAUGGCUGUAUGCCUCCACUGCCAUACAGGAUCCACGGCCCGUUACGCACAAUGCGGCGUAACGUCCGCCGACAAGCCCAGCCGUGAUUCCUUAUACCGAGCGCUAAGUGACACGACUGGCGGCACGGGGAGGUGCGACUAGAAGCUGGAAGGACGGGUGGCGCCGCACUCCUGCCCGUACACAAGGACAGGCAUAUAGGCACAUCGAUGCUCCUGCAUGAAAGAUGCACUCCAUCCCUGGUGGUAUGGUUCCAUCGGUGUUUAGCAUCCCGGCCGCACCCAUAACCCAGAAGUCGAAUCGGUUGGGACGAAUACUCUGUGACUCCCCGAUGGCCUCGGUGCAACUCCUCCUCUGCUGCCAUCUCUCCCCUCUUGCGCGCUGGCCAAGGAAUGAAAGCGCACAUAUAUAUAUAUAUAUAUAUAUAUAUAAGUGCAUGAUCACGUGCGUGCUGGUUUCCCAGCAUCGCUUCGUAUCCAUCAACAUGUUUGCCGGCCCUUUUUUUAGUACCCUCGGUUCUCCUUGUGGCGUGUGCUCCCUCUUAAUGUUGGAUUCAGCGUCUCUCAAGGGCAUCCCGUGCUCUGCGCAAAACGAGGGCAACUGCUACAGCAUCCAACUGACUUGCCUUCGGCUCCCCAUCAUGCACUUCUGCUUCUUGGAAAGCAGGAGAAAAGAUGUUGGACUGAGAGGUGCGUCUCCCUGAUAACGGUCAGCAAAGUCUUGUCCUUGCGUGCGCUCUGUCAUCUCUGUGGAAUGGAGUGGUGAGAGAGGGGCGAAUGUUGUCGAUGAACCCUUCACACUUGCGUCCCCCGUUAAGGUGACAACGGCUUGUGUUUCUGCUAGACUUCCUGAGCAAGCGAGACUUCAUCGUCACACGCGCAGACUUCGCGUUCCAGUGUGGAUGCUGUGUGGCACGCUUAGCUCAUUUAGGUGAUUGACACGAGCACAAAGCGGCGCGCCGGGAAGGGGAGUGUGCAUCGAUGUAUGCAUGCAUGUAUGUGUGCGUGCCUGACUGUUUGCCCGUAUGAGUGAGUGACGUGUGGUGCCUACUGCUCUUGCGACUGCGCAUCCCCUCUCUGUUUCGGCUUCGUAUUUGAUUGCCUUUGAAAAAAAAAAACUGCAAUCCAACCUCCCUCCCCGCGUGCUUCUUCCCUUCCCCGAUUUCAUUCAAUACAAUGGCUGGGCCCAUAAG